UUGGAACGCUGGCGGCAUGGCUAAAACAUGCAAGUCGAACGAGAAAGAGGAGCAAUCCUCGAGUAAAGUGGCGAAAGGGUGAGUAAUACGUUUCUACGUGCCUUGAGGUCAGGGAUAGCCAAGGGAAACCUUGGGUAAUACCUGAUGUGGUCUACGGAUCAAAGGCUUGCCGCCUCAAGAGCGGGGAACGUCCUAUCAGCUAGUUGGUGAGGUAACGGCUCACCAAGGCUAAGACGGGUAGCGGGUGUGAGAGCACGGCCCGCCACAUCGGAACUGAGACACUGUCCGGACUCCUACGGGAGGCUGCAGUAACGAAUCUUCCGCAAUGCGCGAAAGCGUGACGGAGCAAUGCCGCGUGCAGGAUGAAGCCCUUCGGGUGUAAACUGCUGUCAGGUUUUAGCAAGAAAGUGAGCAAGACCAAAGGAAGAGACGACUAACUCUGUGCCAGCAGUCGCGGUAAUACAGAGGUCUCGAGCGUUCAACGGAUUCAUUGGGUACG
rnacentral:rRNA from 1 species